GACGAACGCUGGCGGCGUGCCUAAUACAUGCAAGUAGAACGCACAGUUUAUACCGUAGCUUGCUACACCAUAGACUGUGAGUUGCGAACGGGUGAGUAACGCGUAGGUAACCUGCCUGGUAGCGGGGGAUAACUAUUGGAAACGAUAGCUAAUACCGCAUAAUAUUAAUUAUUGCAUGAUAAUUGAUUGAAAGAUGCAACUGCAUCACUACCAGAUGGACCUGCGUUGUAUUAGCUAGUAGGUGAGGUAACGGCUCACCUAGGCGACGAUACAUAGCCGACCUGAGAGGGUGAUCGGCCACACUGGGACUGAGACACGGCCCAGACUCCUACGGGAGGCAGCAGUAGGGAAUCUUCGGCAAUGGACGAAAGUCUGACCGAGCAACGCCGCGGGAGUGAAGAAGGUUGUCGGAUCGUAAAGCUCUGUUGUAAGAGAAGAACGGGUGUGAGAGUGGAAAGUUCACACUGUGACGGUAUCUUACCAGAAAGGGACGGCUAACUACGUG
rnacentral:rRNA from 1 species